rnacentral:tRNA from 1 species
AAGGCUUUAUGUUAAAUAAACAAAUAGCCUUCAAAGCUAUCAAUAAAAGGGAAUCUUUUAAGCCUUA